GAGAAACUCAUACGGACACUCAGAGGAGGCGCAGUGCUGAAGUCAAAUUCUGAGUUGACUUGGUUGUACGUGGUUCCCUGAGCUGGUUGGUCUUAACCCCCAAACUCGGGACAGACGGAUGUCCAGCAUUGCAGCCUCCUAGUCUAAUGUAUCCAUGAGGUUGGAAUCCCACAGGUCUGCCUGGCAGAGCUGGCGUGACCAGAUGUCUGGUGCUACUCCUCAGAUCUCUGAAUUUGAUCAACCAUGGCAAAAGAUAAACAUAUGAUGGAAGGGUGCUUACUGCAUUAAUCAAGGAGCUUACUCAUUGCUAUGGCUGGUAUCUUGGAAGCAGCAUGAAAUAUGAAGUCAGACGUUUUGGGUUUAUGUUUAUCCUUUGCUAUUUACUAAUUGUGUGAGUUUAGAGAAGUCAUAUGAACUGUGAGCCUCAGUUUCUUCAUCAGUAGAAUGGGGACAAUAUUAAUCACCCAACCUACAUCCAGAUGGAUGUGAUGAGAGAGAGACAGAAAGAGAGAGAUUGAGAAUAAAAGAGAGAGAGAGAGAGGAAAAACUUUAAAAGCCAUGAAAUGUUAAUAUAGUUGUUGGCUCUUGUAGUUAUUUAUUACUGGUAUCUCAGGGAAUGUUCACGAAAAACAUAUUCUUAGAAAACAAGCCCAAAUUCAUAUCAGCCCCAUAAAUAAGAACCAUAGGAUACUGCCCACAGGGAGAAUUUGAUUCUGUGAGUUGAGAGGUUCUGCCUACUGGGGAAGUUACUCGGGCUUUGGUUAAGGUUUUCUUAGGUGGACUCUGGCCUGGUUGAUUCAGCUUCUCACGGACCCAGCUGGGACCCUGGUCUACCUCCUGCUGGCCUCGCUGUUGGCCAUGUGGACCCAGUGACCCUCCUGGUGCCGGUGGUGACAGCAUCGAAACCUAUCCAAAUUUAGAAAAAUGGGAAAGUUGUCCUCUGCAUUUCUCAUAGGCUAUUUUGAUAGUGCUUUUUUCUUCUUUGCCCUCUUUCUCCCCAGCAUUUAAAAGUAUCGUGUUCACUUCAUUGGGUGCCGUGUGGUCUUUCCUUUGACUCCGCUGCCUCUUGUUUGUGAAACACAGUGAGUCAACCGUGACAAAUGGCCAGCAGCCAUCUGCCUCCAAAGAACAGAGACUUUUUUCUUCCCUUUAUUUUGUUUUAAAAAUAAUAAGGUAUUUUUCCUUGCGGGGGAAAUUUUCUAUUAUUCAGAGAUACAUAGCAUCGAGAAAAGCUCUGAAGCCAGGAGACCUGGGUUCCAGCCCCAGAUCGGGCAAUUCCAUGAGCUCUUCAGAGCCUCGGCGACUUGGGGGAUGUCAUGAGUGCGAAAGCCCUUUGCAAACAACGGAAUGCGACGCCGAUGUUCUUAUCACAGCUUCUCCUUCCCAGGCACCCUCGCAGGGUAGCAGGCUUUUCAGAGACUCCUGGAAAUGCUGUGUCAGGGAGUGUGUGUAUUUGAUCUGCAACAAGAAGGUCCUGAAGACCACGUGGCGGAUUUAUUUCUCACCUCAAAGAUGUGCAACCCUGUUUUUGAGAUCCAGCCCCUGCCUGCUCAAUGCCCUCUAGCAGUUGUGGCCCCACCUGCAAGUUUAAGACUAGACUAGACUGUGGCCCUGAGUCUCCUGUGGAUCCACCCCAGUGGCCAUGGGCUUUAUUCCAUCCAGCUCCAAGGCUUGCUGGACCCCACGGGGGGACUGUCUCUUCUGCCAGACAAUGUGGGCUCUGGGCCAGCUGUGUGCUUGGAUUCACUUGCAUCUUCCAGGACCUUUGUCAUAUGAACAGUCCGAAGCAAUGAGUGUUAUUCUUUUAAUUUGUGUGUUUCCACGUUUCCCCUUCUCUGAGGGUCACAGGAGUGUAAACAAUGGGAAGACAGAACAGCACAUGGAGAUGUCACUGCUUUUAUCUCUGAAGGUGUGGGCAAGCUGUCCCACACCUUUGCCUCCGUGUGCCUGGACGCUGUGGCCUGUGGCAAAGCAGACACUUAUCAAGCGGACUGUAUUUGACCCAUAAGAACAGUGUUGUAUUGGGAGUCCAAGGAGAAAUAAGUUAGAAGUAAAGUGUGUUCUUUUCAGAACUGCUUCCAUUUCUGCAGCGUGGUGCUGAAUGUGCUUUUUAUAACUGAGGGAGACGGGAAAGGGUUUUUAUCUUUGCAGUCCCCACAAGUUAAGAUAAUGGGAUUUUUUUUAACAUUGAGUUUUAUUCCAGAGACAUGUUUAAAUCCUUUGUAGUCGGUGUCAGGUAGCAGUACAGCUAAAACAAUCCUAACACUAGUAAUGCAUCAUAGUGUGACAUCUGUCUGUGCUUUCUGCCACCAGCCUGUCUGCCUCUCCUUCACAAACCGCCCGUCUGGGUGAGACCUGGCGGCUGACCUGAGAGGGACCUGUGGCAUCCCCUCCAGCAGGUGGCUGUGCCUCCAGGGAGACACCUGUUGAUUUUGUUGGAAACAGGCAAGGCAGCCGCCACGGCUCCUCCGUGCCGCGCUGUAAGCCAGAGGGUGAGGGCAGGCGGGGAAUCGGAGCUUGUCUCCAGGUGAGCUAGUGAUUACACAGGGAUGGGAGCGGAGUGCCAGUCCUCCCAUCUGGAGAACACUUCUGGUGGCAGGAGCUAAGGAUAGGGUGAAGGAAAGUGAUACACCCCGGCUGGCCGGGGCAGCCGCUAGGGCCCGCAUCACCUCUGCCCUGCUCCGUCCAAAAGGGAGCUCAGUGGGACUGCAUCGGUGUGGGGCUCAGUGGGUGCCCUGCCCAUUGGUCCAUGGCUCUUCCUCCUCACGAUCACCCAGAUGCACCCCUUUCUCCCCACACAUGUUGGCUCCUCCCGCUGGGUUUCCUGAGAGGGUGGAAGGAGGAAGGCAGGCUCUUUGCAAACUCCCCUCCCUUCCCUGCACAGGUGGGAUUCACAGCCUCUCCCCUCAUCCAAGGGGACAUGUCCCAAGACCCAGGGUGGACGCCUGAAACCACAGACAGUGCCGGACCCUAUACAGCCAAUGCUUUUCCCUACACACACACCUUCUCCCCUGCAGGAGGCCUUACGGCCUCUGGGGCCUCCCCGAAUUGCCAGCAUCUCUGCUCCGGUGCUCUGGAGCCAUUAGUAAGGAAAAGAAGGGUGACUUGGACACGAGACUGCGACCCCAGACGGCUACUCAGUGACUAAUGGGCAGGAGCAUAUGCGUCGUGGGGACGCUGGACAAAGGCGUGAGUUAUGUCCCAGGUGGGAGGGGGGGGGGCAGAGCAGGACGGCACCAGGUUUCAUCCCGCUCCUCAGAACAGCGUGAAAUUUAAAACACGAAUUGUUUUCCUCUGGAAUUUUCCAUUUAAUAAUUUUGGACCCAGGUUGACUGCAAGUCAUUGAGAGUGGAAGGCAAACCACGGCUAAGGGGGCACUGCUGUCCUGCUUCCAUCGCAUCCUAACGGCCUCUCUCCCCAGGAGAACGGGAACCACGGGGUGCCCUUGACCAGACCCUCUACUCCCGUGUACAGCCAGGACCCGGCCCCGUGUCCGACACAAACCCAGUCAGUUCGAUAUCGGCUCAGAUUCAAAGGCCCGAGGCCUGGGCCGGUCCGCGCUGGCUUCCGCACAGUUGCUAUUGUGCCGCUUCCUCGUGACUAUAAUUAGGUGAUGGUGUAAGGCGUCCGCGGCGCGCCCUGGAAGAGCGACUGUAUUUGGCCAUGAUGUCACUCGCACCAGCCCCUUCUCAUCAGGUGGCCUUCGCUGGUGCGUUUGGGAUUCCGCGGGGAUGAAAUCAGACUGUCACCGAGCUCUCCCUGGAGUGAGAUAGCACUUGGGAUGAGCUCUCGGGACAAGUGCCUUUACGUGCUUGAGAUAAUUGUGACAUAAGAGCUGAGAGUUCUGGGAAGUCCCUGCUCUAGCUCUCCAAUCUCGACAAGUCCCCGAGCCUCUUGGAGACUUCCUUCGUUCGUCUGGAAAUUGGGGCUCAUCGUACCAGCAACCCCAGGAGAUAAAAUGUCUGGCCCCUCUCUGUCCCCUUUCACACCCAGUCAGUGACCACAUCCUAAACGGUCCACGUCUUAAGUAUCUCUCAACUCCUCCCACGUUUCUCUCUCUCCACGGCCACCGUCCGGCCCCAGCCACUGUCCUCUCUCGCCUUGGACCACGACCCUUGUCUGUUGACUGGUGUCACUGCACUCACGCCUCUACCCCUCUGUGCCAUAGGCGUGUGGCUUCCACAGUGGUCUUUCUGGACAGUCACUUGGGACAUAUCCUUUAGCUUAAAACUUUCCAGGGCAUCUCUGCGCUCUUAGGGUGAAGCCCAGAUUUCUCACCUUGACCUACAAGACCCCGCAGGAUCUGGGUCUGUCUGUAUCUCGAACCUCAGGUCAUGUCAUUCUCUCCCCAGCAACCGGCAUUCCAGCCCAAUCAGCAACUCAGAUACAUCCAGAUGCUCCUCCCUAAAGACUGCGGAUGCUCCUUUCGCUUAGCAGCAGUUCUCAACCUGUGGGUCGCGAACAAUGAAAAUACAUCCUGCCUAUCAGAUAUUUACAUUACAAUUCAUAACAGUAGCAAAAUUACAGGUAUGAAGUAGCCACGAAAAUAAUUUUAUGGUUGGGGGUCGCCACAACAUGAGGAACUGUAUUAAAGGGUCGUGGCAUUAGGAAGAUUGAGAACCACUGGCUUAGAGCUUCUUGUCCUGGAUCUGGCUUUUCCAGAAGCCAGCCUACCCCAGGAUUUGAGACAAUCAAUUCUCUUUCAUUGUGUACAGCCACUGAAGUUGAGUUUCUGUUACUUGGAACCCAAAGUCCUGGCAGAUACAGCUGCUUUUUGAGCAUCUGCUACAGGUGAAGGCACUUCUUGGGGCUCUCCAGGAUUCAGAGGAGCCAGACAUGGCCCUGCACUCAAGGGCCCCUGCACCCCUCAGAACACACAGACCAGUGUGUGAUCACCACAGGCAAAGCGCCAGAUCCCCAGCCAAGGAGCACGGCUGGCUGCAGGACCACAGUGAAGAGGGAUGGGUACCAACUGGGGAGGACGCGGAGCGCUCCUGAGACAAGGCGCCUCAUUCCCCACAGAGAGACAAGCUUGGGCCAGGGUCAGCCGUGGGAGGUACAAAAACCGCAUUGUGUUCUUUGAGGUUCUGUAGGUCAUCCCUAGCGACUGAGGGCAGAGGUUGGGUUAACAGGAAAGAUUUGGGGGACAAAAAGAGAACGAGAGAAAAGAUUUGUUUGAAACAAACUGUGGAGGCUCUGAUGGGCAGUGUGAGGGAUCUGCCUGGGGUCAGGAUG